UACGAAGGGGACUAGCGUUGUCCGGAAUUAUUGGGCGUAAAGAGCUUGUAGGCGGUUUGUCGCGUCUGCUGUGAAAAUCCGGGGCUCAACCCCGGACUUGCAGUGGGUACGGGCAGGCUAGAGUGUGGUAGGGGAGACUGGAAUUCCUGGUGUAGCGGUGAAAUGCGCAGAUAUCAGGAGGAACACCGAUGGCGAAGGCAGGUCUCUGGGCCACUACUGACGCUGAGAAGCGAAAGCAUGGGGAGCGAACAGG
rnacentral:rRNA from 1 species